AACGAACGCUGGCGGCAGGCCUAACACAUGCAAGUCGAACGCUGUAGCAAUACAGAGUGGCGCACGGGUGAGAACGCGUAGGAAUCUACCCAUUAGCCUGGGAUAACAGCGGGAAACUGCUGCUAAUACCGGAUACGCCCUUCGGGGGAAAGGUUUACUACUAAUGGAUGAGCCUGCGUUAGAUUAGCUAGUUGGUGAGGUAAUGGCUCACCAAGGCUCCGAUCUAUAGCCGGUCUGAGAGGACGAUCGGCCACACUGGACUGAGACACGGCCCAGACUCCUACGGGAGGCAGCAGUGGGGAAUAUUGGGCAAUGGACACAAGUCUGACCCAGCCAUGCCGCGUGUGUGAUGAAGGCCUUAGGGUUGUAAAGCACUUUUAGUAGUGAAGAUGAUGACAGUUGCUACAGAAAAAGCCCCGGCUAACUUCGUGCCAGCCGCCGCGGUAA
rnacentral:rRNA from 1 species